rnacentral:rRNA from 1 species
CAGCCGCCGCGGUAAUACGAAGGGUGCAAGCGUUAAUCGGAAUUACUGGGCGUAAAGCGUGCGUAGGCGGUGAGUUAAGUCUGUUGUGAAAUCCCCGGGCUCAACCUGGGAAUGGCAAUGGAUACUGGCAAGCUAGAGUGUGUCAGAGGAUGGUGGAAUUCCCGGUGUAGCGGUGAAAUGCGUAGAGAUCGGGAGGAACAUCAGUGGCGAAGGCGGCCACCUGGGACAACACUGACGCUGAGGCACGAAAGCGUGGGGAGCAAACAGGAUUAGAUACCCCCGUAGUCCCUGUCUCUUAUAC